UUGCAAGUUUGAUGGCGACCGGCGCACGGGUGAGUAACACGUAUCCAACCUGCCGAUGACUCGGGGAUAGCCUUUCGAAAGAAAGAUUAAUACCCGAUAGCAUAAUGAUUCCGCAUGGUUUCAUUAUUAAAGGAUUCCGGUAAAGGAUGGGGAUGCGUUCCAUUAGGUUGUUGGUGGGGUAACGGCCCACCAAGCCUUCGAUGGAUAGGGGUUCUGAGAGGAAGGUCCCCCACAUUGGAACUGAGACACGGUCCAAACUCCUACGGGAGGCAGCAUG
rnacentral:rRNA from 1 species